CCAAAUGGCACCCUAUUCCCUACAGAAAGAGGUAGUUGUAUUGGGGGGUAUCUAGGUAGUUGUAUUGGGGGGUAUCUAGGUAGUUGUAUUGGGGGGUAUCUAGGUAGUUGUAUUGGGGGGUAUCUAGGUAGUUGUAUUGGGGGUAUCUAGGUAGUUGUAUUGGAGGGUAUCUAGGUAAUUUUAUUGGGGGUAUCUAGGUAGUUGUAUUGGAGGUAUCUAGGUAGUUGUAUUGGAGGGUAUCUAGGUAGUUGUUUUGGGGGGGUAUCUAGGUAGUUGUAUUGGAGGGUAUCUAGGUAGUUGUAUUGGAGGUAUCUAGGUAGUUGUUUUGGAGGUAUCUAGGUAGUUGUAUUGGAGGGUAUCUAGGUAGUUGUAUUGGGGGGUAUCUAGGUAGUUGUAUUGGAGGUAUCUAGGUAGUUGUAUUGGAGGUAUCUAGGUAGUUGUAUUGGAGGUAUCUAGGUAGUUGUAUUGGAGGUAUCUAGGUAGUUGUUUUGGAGGUAUCUAGGUAGUUGUUUUGGGGGAAUCUAGGUAAAGAAAGAGGUAGUUG